AUCCCUGCAGGGACUCGCUAGCUUUUGACCUCAAAUCUUCAAUAAGGGAGUCUCUUGAAAACCAGAAGCAGUAACACACCAAGGGAUGUAGUUCUGAUGGCAGGAUUUCAAGCUCAGGCUAGGAGAGGCAACCUGCUGUGCCAAAGGCCACCGAGUCAGGGCUUUGGACUCAGAUCUGGAAGCAGAUCCUGCCCUCCUUCUUUGUGUUGGCGAAGGGAGCAGAAGGGACCGCAAGUGUCGCAAUGCUGUUCUCAUCCAUCCCCAGUCAAGAUGCUUGGUUUGGCAACAAGACUGUGGCAGACCCGUGGCAUCUGUGCCGUUGACGUUCAGUCAUUCCCAAACCACCCGGAAGGUCCCCGGCUGUCCGCUUGUCAUUUUGCUGAGACACAGAACCGACUUACGCGGUUGCUGCUCAUUGAGUGAAUCUAGCGGACGGACAAGCAGCCUCAUCCCAGGACGGCUCCCUCUUCUCUUGUUAGAACAGAUGUAAUAACUAAUAAAGUGAU